rnacentral:rRNA from 2 species
GGCGGACGGGUGAGUAACACGUGGGCAACCUGCCUAUAAGACUGGGAUAACUUCGGGAAACCGGAGCUAAUACCGGAUACGUUCUUUUCUCGCAUGAGAGAAGAUGGAAAGACGGUUUACGCUGUCACUUAUAGAUGGGCCCGCGGCGCAUUAGCUAGUUGGUGAGGUAAUGGCUCACCAAGGCGACGAUGCGUAGCCGACCUGAGAGGGUGAUCGGCCACACUGGGACUGAGACACGGCCCAGACUCCUACGGGAGGCAGCAGUAGGGAAUCUUCCGCAAUGGACGAAAGUCUGACGGAGCAACGCCGCGUGAACGAAGAAGGCCUUCGGGUCGUAAAGUUCUGUUGUUAGGGAAGAACAAGUACCAGAGUAACUGCUGGUACCUUGACGGUACCUAACCAGAAAGCCACGGCUAACUACGUGCCAGCAGCCGCGGUAAUACGUAGGUGGCAAGCGUUGUCCGGAAUUAUUGGGCGUAAAGCGCGCGCAGGUGGUUCCUUAAGUCUGAUGUGAAAGCCCACGGCUCAACCGUGGAGGGUCAUUGGAAACUGGGGAACUUGAGUGCAGAAGAGGAAAGUGGAAUUCCAAGUGUAGCGGUGAAAUGCGUAGAGAUUUGGAGGAACACCAGU